UACGUAGGGUGCGAGCGUUAAUCGGAAUUACUGGGCGUAAAGCGUGCGUAGGCGGUUUAUUAAGUCAGAUGUGAAAGCCCUAGGCUCAACUUAGGAAGUGCGUCUGAAACUGAUAGGCUAGAGUUUGGUAGAGGGGGGUAGAAUUCCUGGUGUAGCAGUGAAAUGCGUAGAGAUCAGGAGGAAUACCGAUGGCGAAGGCAGCCCCCUGGAUUAAAACUGACGCUCAGGCACGAAAGCGUGGGGAGCAAACAGG
rnacentral:rRNA from 1 species